ACAGCCCUGACUGAAGACCAGCAGUCAUACUAUAGCUGCUGGUUUCGAGCGUAGGCCCAACUGUCUUUCUGUGGUCUACUGGCUGUUCUGGAACCUCAGCAAACAAUGGCUAUUUGACCUGAAAGAAAUCCAU